rnacentral:rRNA from 1 species
AUGAACCGUCAUGAUCGGCACGACCUCCUGGUGGAUGAGAUCGACCGCGGGCUCAAGGCGGACAGUGGUGGUGGCGUGGACCUCGUCAACUAUGGCGAUGGUGACUACCUCGGUCGGACAUUCCGUCGAACAGGUGACUGGCACCAUCUCGAUGGAAGCAGGGGACGCGCCGGGGGUGAGUUCGAGGACCUCCUGGGCGUUGCUGGUGGAAGAGGGGGCGGAGAAGACGUCGGGGACGACCGCGUGGACGACCGCAGGGACAAGGGUGUCGUCGGUAAGGCCGCCAUCGGAGGCCAGAACUGCGGAGCGCGCCGACUGCGGGGUCGAAGCUCCCGUGAUGAGCUUGGCGAACAGCGCGUCGAACAGCCUGGCACUGGCGUCAUGGCGUGCCUGAGCCUUCGCCUCGAGCUCGUCAAGGUAAGCUUUCAACUCAGGAUGCAUGGUGGUGGAGAGAAUGGUGUGAGAAAAAAAAAUUGA